AGAGCAUUGAGAGGACCUUUCCCUAGUACGAGAGGACCGAGAAGGACGCACCUCUGGUGUGCCAGUUAUCGUGCCCACGGUAAACGCUGGAUAGCCAAGUGCGGAGCGAAUAACUGCUGAAAGCAUCUAAGUAGGAAACCCAUCCCAAGAUAAGUGCUCU
rfam:Vigna radiata var. radiata cultivar VC1973A chromosome 5, whole genome shotgun sequence